UGUAGAAGGAGCUUCUACAGAACUAGGACUGUUUCAUUCAAAAGAAAUCAUCAGGAAGCUUGCUGUCAAAAUAAGUCUUGGCAUUUAUACAUUUAGGCAGAUUUAAUGGGGUGGUGGUGGUGGGGGACAUAUAUAUAUACAUAUAUACAUACAUACAUACACACACACUCAUUUUAUUUAAUUGGCAGAAGUUACAGAUUGACUCAAGGAUCAAGAGUUUUUAUUUUAUUGGCAUUUAACAAAUGGAUUUGAUAAAUGUAUGAAGCUUUCAGCCCUGAAGACACUGAGUAAUUUCCACCAAUUAAAUAUAUAUAUAUAUAUAUAUAUGAAUGUGGUAUAUAUAGAAAUCAAAACAUGAAUAUAUAUAUAUAUAUAUAUAUAUAUAUAUUUUCAUGUUUUGAUUUCUAUUUUCCUGUUUGCAUCACCAAACAUACAUACAUAUAAACACCCAUCCACACACACAGACAUAUAUAUAUAGCCACCUGCCCAGGUGGGAGUAUGUGGAAAUAAGGAGGUUAGAAUAGUGGCCCAAAAUAAUUUUCCUUUGCAAUUUGGAUUAACUUAAAUUAGAAUUUAAAUUUCUUAAAUAUAUAACUUGAGCAUAGCUAUAAUUAGUCAGAACAAUUAUAUACCCAUUUCUUUAUUACCCACAAGGGGCUAAACACAGAGGGGACAAACAAGGACAGACAUAGGUAUUAUGUCGAUUACAUCGACCCCAGUGCGUAACUGGUACUUAAUUUAUCAACCCCGAAAGGAUGAAAGGCAAAGUCGACCUCAGCGGAAUUUGAACUCACAACGUAACACAGACGAAAUACCGCUAAGCAUUUCGCCCGGCGUGCUAACGUUUCUGCCAGGUCGCUGCCUUAAUUAUAUACCGUCUAGUGAACAUACUUUUGUGAUUUAAAAAAAAAAUUUACAGUGAAGGGAUUGGAGGCUUACUAUGAAUGUUAGGGGUUGAGAAAAAAAAAAAAAGAAAUGAUGAAGUGCCCUACAUUAUAACGAUUAACGAUUAUAUGCAAUUGCUAGUGCUAGCUAUAAUGAUACAUAUUUUUAUCUGUUAGUAUUACAAUAAUGCAUUAACAGCUACUAGUGUUAUGUUACACGCAGAGCCACCAAUACUGAAAUACUGCAUAUGGAGCUACUAGUGAUGUCAUAAUGCAUAUAAAGUCACUAAUGUUGUAAUAAUGCAUAUAUGGUUACUAAUGACAUAAUUAAACACACAUACAGUCACCAGUGACAUAUGAGGUACAUUCCAGGAGUUUUGAGACUUUUUUAAGAGAGGCAGUUAUAAAUGUCCCAGAUUAUAGUAAUUUUAAUUUAUCAUUAUUAUGGAUCAAAUGAACUGACAUGCCAACAUCAUACUCUACUAAACACUGCUUGUUACAAUUCCAUCCUGGUAACCAACUAAUUGACAGAAAUGAGCAUCAGAACUACACCUCACCCUCUCUACAGUCCAGACCUUGCUCCAUGUGACUUUUGGUUGUUCCCCCGAGUUGAAUGAGAACCCCAAGGGCAAUUGCUUUGAAGACAUUGAGAAGUUGGAGGCUGAACACCUUCACUUUGGAGAACCAACAUGGUGUGUUCGUGAAGUGGCUGAAAUCCUACAACAAAUGUGUUGAAAUCAGGGAAUCCUAAAUUUUUUUUUUUUCCUUCUCGAGCCAUCCCUGGCUCAUAAGGGCCGGUUUUCCGGUUUCUUGGCGUAUAGGUUCCCCACCUGGACGGGACGCCGGUCCGUUACAGGUGAGCUGCAAGAUGCAGGAGGAAAAGAGUGAGAGAAAGUUGUGGCGAAAGAGUCAGCAGAAGUUUUGCCACUACCUUCUGCCGGAGCCGCGUGGAACUUAGGUGUUUCGCUCAUAAACACACACAUCGCCCGGUCUGAGAUUCGAACCCGCAAUCCUUCGACCACGAGUCUGCUGCUCUAACCACUAGGCCAUGUGCCUCCACACAGAACCCUAAUUUGAAUUUGAUUAGAGCUUUGUACUUCUCUGAAAUUAACAAAUGUCUCUUCUGAAAAAGUUUCAGACAUUCUGGAAUGUACCUUGUAGUGAUACACACUUAGAGCCACCAGUACUGAAAUACUUAAUAAGUAGCUACUAGUGAUGUAAUAAUGCAUAUAAAGUCACUAGUGAUGUAAUAAUGCAUAUCUGGCUACCAAUGACAUAAUUAUACACAUAUACAGUCACUAGUGACAUAACAAUACACAUAUAGAGCCACUAGAGCUGGAAUAAUGCAUAUAUGGUCAAAAGUAUUGUAAUAAUGCAUAUAAAGCCACUAGUGACAUUAUGAUACACAUGCACAGCCACCAGGAUUUUGUAAUAAUGCAUACACGUCUAGUGACAUCAUGAUACACGCAUGCAGUCACCAGUACUGUAAUAAUGCAUAUACAGUCACCAGUGACAUAGUGAUACUCAUGUACAAUCACUAGUGACAUUAUGAUACACACGUAGAGGCACUCUCUCUCUUUCGGAGAGGCACUGAGCAGCUAUACGCACACAUACACACACGGCAGUAACUUCCACAUACCGAAUUCAAUCACAAAGUUUCGGUCGACUCGGGGCUAUAGCAGAAGACACCUGCCCAAAGUGCCACGCAGUGGGACUGAACCCGAAACCAUGUAGCUAGAAAGCAAGCUCCCUAACCACACAGCCAUACCCGCGCUAAUACUAAGACAUCAUUAUAGUAUUGUAUACACGUGAAGGCGCAUGGCUCAGUGGUUAGAGCAUCGAGUUUAUGAUCGUGAGGUUGUGAGUUCGAAUCCCGGACUGGGCUGCGUGUUGUGUUCUUGAGUAAGACACUUUAUUUCACGUUGCUCCAGUUCACUCAGCUGUAGAAAUGAGUUGUGACGUCACAGGUGCCAAGCUGUAUCGGCCCCUUUGCUUUUCCCUUGGAUAACAUCAGUAGUGUGGAGAGGGGAGGCCAAUAUGCAUGGGCGACUGCUGGUCUUCCAGAAACAACCUUGCCCGGACUUAUGCCUCAGAGGGUAACUUUCUAGGUGCAAUCCAACGGUCAGUCAUGACUGAAGGGGGUCUCAAUAUAUAUAUAUAUAUAUAUGUAUAUGUAUAUAUAUGAGUGGCUGUGUGGUAAGUAGCUUGCUUACCAACCACAUGAUUCCGGUGGUGUGGAGAGGGAAGGCUGGUAUGCAUGGGCGACUGCUGGUCUUCCAUGAACAACCUUGCCCGGACUUAUGCCUCAGAGGGUAACUUUCUAGGUGCAAUCCAACGGUCAGUCAUGACCAAAGGGGGUCUCAAUAUAUAUUAUAUAUAUAUAUAUGUAUAUAUAUGAGUGGCUGUGUGGUAAGUAGCUUGCUUACCAACCACAUGAUUCCGGUGGUGUGGAGAGGGAAGGCUGGUAUGCAUGGGCGACUGCUGGUCUUCCAUAAACAACCUUGCCUGGACUUAUGCCUCGGAGGGUAACUUUCUAGGUGCAAUCCAACGGUCAGUCAUGACCGAAGGGGGUCUCAAUAUAUAUUAUAUAUAUAUAUAUGUAUAUAUAUGAGUGGCUGUGUGGUAAGUAGCUUGCUUACCAACCACAUGAUUCCGGUGGUGUGGAGAGGGAAGGCUGGUAUGCAUGGGCGACUGCUGGUCUUCCAUGAACAACCUUGCCCGGACUUAUGCCUCGGAGGGUAACUUUCUAGGUGCAAUCCCAUGGUCAUUCAUGACCGAAGGGGGUCUCCUCCUCCAAAUUGUAUACACAGUUAUUCAUGCUAUGACAGAAAGUCACUAACAGAGAAAGGAUGUACAUAUGCAGCUUCUACCACUACAAUGUUGCACACAUACAAUCAUUAAUAUUAUGAUACACAUAUAUGCAACCAAUGAGUGUUAUAAUGACACAAUACACAGCUGGUAGUGUAGCAACAGUGUUCACUUACAGGAUAUAAUGACAUGAUAUUACACAUAUACAGUUCCUAGUAAUAUUGUAGAAUACAUAUACAGUUACUAAUGAUCUAACAAUACACACAUACGACUGCAGAUAGUAAGUUUUACUUCCUGAUAUACAGUCACAACUGAAAUGAUGCACAUACAUAUAUGACUAAUGAUGCAAUAUAAUAAUGCAUAUACAAAUUAUAGAUCAGUAUGUGACAGUUAAUUAGGUGACAUAUAUAUAUCUAUAUGUAUAUAUCUAUCUAUCUAUCUAUAUAUAUAUAUAUAUAUAUACACACAUAUAUAUGUAUAUUUAUAUAUAUAUAUAUAUAUAUGUGUGUGUGUGUGUAUGUAUGUAUAUAUUUAUAUAUAUGUACAUGAAUACACUCGCAUCCACAAGCACACACACAAAUAUAUAUGUAUAUAUAUGUAUGUGUACAUGCAUAUAUGUGUGUAUAUACACAUGCAAAUAUAUAUAUAUAUAUAUAUAUAUUUGAACUUUCCCAUACAUGUGCACACACACACAUACACACACACGCACAUACACAGACACAAAGUCAGUCUCUGAUCAUAGAGUUACGGGUCAGGGAAGGAGACACAAAAGCAAACCAUUGUUCCUUAGUUCUAACCCUCCAGUUCAAAACUGCCAGUGCAACCAAUGAGCCGAAGUAUAAUCAUUAUGCUGCAAUUUGGACAAUACAAUUAGUCUAUGAUGAUGAUGAGGAUGUUGACAAUGACAAAAAAAAAAGUUACAAUGAAACCGUAAGAUAUAAUCUAUACCAGUGGUUUUCAACCAGGGUUCCACGGAACCUUAGGGUUCUGCCAGUACAGUGCAGGGGUUCCGCAAGAAGUUACAAAACUGCUAAAGUCGGCAGUAAUUUUUAAUUCUCCUGUGCAGAUAUGUGUGCAUAAGACUAUGAAAUUAUUGCACAGGGGAUCCUCGAGCCAGUGGAAUGUUUCCUUGGGGUUCCACUCCAGCAAAAAGUUUGAAAAGCACUGAUCUAUACGAUGCUACUCAUUGCUUAAUGCAAGGAAUAACAUUGUAUAAUUUAUGUGACUGCACAAUUAAUAAUAUCAUUUAGCCAUUUUUUUGUAUUUUAAUUGAAUUCAUGCAUGAUAAAUUAUGCAGCUGUAUAAACAACCAAAUAAGCCAUAGAGUGAACACACAUGCACACAGAGUAAAAAAAACAAAACUGUGUGGUUUUUAGAAGAUGCAGAAAUAAUCAUGUUAUUUACGCAGUGAGCAACUAAACAUGUGACACAAACAGUUGUUGCCUAAUCUGUUGCACAAUUUCAAUAAAUGCACAAACAUAUUCAGGAGUGGGCUGUGUGGUAAGUAGCUUGCUUACCAACCACAUGGUUCCGGGUUCAGUCCCACCGCGUGGCAUCUUGGGCAAGUGUCUUUCUGCUAUAGCCCCGGGCCAACCAAUGCCUUGUGAGUGGAUUUGGUAGACAGAAAUUGAAAGAAGCCCGUCGUAUAUAUGUAUAUAUAUAUGUAUGUGUGUGUAUGUGUUUGUCUCCCAAGCAUUGCUUGACAACCGAUGCUGGCGUGUUUAAGUCCCCGUCACUUAGCGGUUCGGCAAAAGAGACCGAUAGAAGCCUGUCGUAUAUAUGUAUAUAUAUAUAUAUAUAUAUAUAUAUAUAUAUGUGCGUGUGUGUGUGUAUGUGUUUGUGUGUCUGUGUUUGUCUCCCUAGCAUUGGUUGACAACCGAUGCUGGCGUGUUUACAUCCCCGUCACUUAGCGGUUUGGCAAAAAGAGACCGAUAGAAUAAGUACUGGGCUUACAAAGAAUAAGUCCCGGGGUCGAUUUGCUCGACUAAAAAAGGCGGUGCUCCAGCAUGGCAGCAGUCAAAUGACUGAAACAAGUAAAAGAGUAAAAGAGAGUAUCCAUACGUGAACAUUAGUGGUGAUACAUGAUGAAAUAUUAACGAUCAUACUAUUUAUGGAACUGUGUAAUUUAUAGAGCAAAGCAUUCAGUUGUUAAUUAACACUUAAAUGAUAUAAUCAGUGAUGGAGCUCUUUAACUAGGGUCGCUGCAGAAAGUUAAAAUAAUAAAAUAAUCACUGAUUCUAAGUUAGGUGCAACAUUAGCUGUUUUGUGUAGAGGAGAUUGAGUCAAUACUAUUGAUCUUAGUAUUUGACUGGUCUUCCAUUUCAUUGAUCCUUGGCUGGAAUUGAAUUCAAAAUGUAAAGACCUAGAACAAAAUACUGUGAAGUAUUAUUUUCUGAUGCCCUAAGGAUUCCACUAAUCCACAACCAUAAUAAUAAUAAUAAUAAUAAUAAAUGAAUGCCCUAAUGCAGUACCAAACAGCGGCUCUCAUGGCUUCUGAUCUUAACUGAUUGGAAGUGUUAUCAUGUACAUUGUUUUUGCCUUGGUAUAAAAGAUGGGCUACAGCAAAUAUUCUGCUCAGUACCACAGAUUUACUUGUCAGUUGUUUGACCGUAACCAGUUGAGCAUGUCCCUCAGUGGCUGACGAUAUGUGCAUCUCUGAUCAUGAGCAGAAGUAGUGGGGGGAGCAUCAUAGCCAUGUGUCAAAAGGAAUUCUUAGAUGUUUGGAUAAUUCAUCUUUGGAAACAUGGGUGGUUCGUUCAACAUCCUUAAGCAACCCUUAAUCAGGGACCUUUUGAGCGGGAUGGGUUACCCAACCAGAAGAAAAUUCUAACUGGGCCCCACCCGCAAGGUCAUGUGCUGUUUAUCUUGUUAUGAGAUCACCAUGUCGCGCACAUAUGGUUGUGAUGCAUGUGCCUGGUGUACCCUUAUCAGACAGGUAGUCAUGAUGGGUAUACUGGGCUUCGCAUAUUUUACCCCAGUGUCACUUUGAUGACAUGCACUGCUCUCUCACUCAAUAAUAAUGAUAAUAAUAAUAAUAAUAAUAAUAAUAAUAAUAAUAAUAAUAAUAAUAACAAUAACAACAUUAAUGAUAAUAAUGAUAUUUCAAAUUUUGGCACAAGGCCAGCAAUUUCAAGGGAGAGGAUAAAUCAGAUACAUCAACCCCAGUGUUCAACUGGUACUUAUUUUGUAGACACUGGAAGGAAUUUGAACUCACUACAUAAAGAUAAGUGAAAUGCUGCUAACAAUUCUGCCAGAUUGUACCAUAAUAAUAAUAAUAAUAAUAAUAAUAAUGAUGAUGAUGAUGAUGAUGAUGAUUAUUUCUACUGAUAUUUUGUGGGAAGAGGGCCAUGUGAUAACAUCAAUCCCUAACUGGUACUUAAUUUAUUGACUCCAAAAGGAUGAAAGGUAAAGUUGACUUCGGCGUGAUUUGAACUCAGAACGUAGCGACAGACACAAUGCCAAUAGGCAUUUUGCCCAGUGUGCUAACGAUUCUGCCAGCUGACUUUGGCACAGGAUUUGAAGUCAGAAUAUAAAGGGCCAGAGUAAAUAACACAAAAAAUUUUCUCCAAUAUUCUAAUAAUUUAUCAAUUAAUAAUAAUAAUAAUAAUAAUAAUAAUAAUAAUAUGGAAACAUGGGUGGUUCUUUCAACAUCCUUAAGCAACCUUUAUUCAGGGACCUUUUGAGCGGGAUGGGUUACCCAACCAGAAGAAAAUUCUAACUGGGCCCCACCCGCAAGGUCAUGCGCUGUUUAUCUUGUUAUGAGAUCACCAUGUCGCGCACAUAUGGUUGUGAUGCAUGUGCCUGGUGUACCCUUAUCAGACGGGUAGUCAUGAUGGGUAUAUUGGGCUUCGUAUAUUUUACCCCAGUGUCACUUUGAUGGCAUGAACUGCUCUCUCACUCAAUAAUAAUAAUAAUCCUUUCUACUAUAGGCACAAGGCUUGAAAUUUUGGGGGCGGUGACUAUUUGAUUAAAUUGACCCCAAUGUUCAACUUUUUUAUUGACCCCGAAAGGAUGGAACGCAAAGUUCAAUAAUAAUAAUGAUGAUGAUGAUGAUGAUGAUGAUGAUGAUAAUAAUAAUAAUAUUUACUCAAUGAUAACUUCAGGCUCAAGUACAGGGUCACACAAAUCAUAGAAAAAGGGGAAAAGAUUGGAUGAUGUUCAUUCAUUUCCCAGGAGUCAUUCAUUGAACCAACUUUCUUUCGAACAGAAUUUAAAAAAAAGUUAGGGACUAAAGCUUGCAGUAUGCCACCUUAUCAAUGUAUACAAAAAACAUUAUUUUGAUUUCAAGAGUUUGUGUGUGCAUGUGUGUGUGAGAGAGAGCGUGUACGCGUGUGUGUUUUGAUUACACACAAGAAUAUUUGAAGUGAAUUAUACAUUGAUGAUGUUGGAGAAGUUUUCUUAUAUUUUUUUCAUCAAUUUUGCCUUUGAAAUUAACACCUUUUCAGCAACAUGAUCUGUCAACGUCAUUAUAACAUAGCAGCGACAUAGAUCUCUUAGCAGUCCGGAAGAACAAGAGGAAAGAGGGUAUUGAGAAGUGCUUGGUAGGGCAGGAUGAAGUUAGUGUCAACAGCUGUGGCUUUCCUUGUUUGGGACAAAGAAGGGAAGCAUAAGAACUUUUGAUUUUAAUUUGCUUUUGAUAUUGAAAUAGAACUUCUGGCAUACAUAAUAUGAUACACAAGAUAAAAGCAGCCGUUAUAUCAUGAUGUUCUUAACACAUUCUUAAUGACUAUGUACAUACACACGUGUGUGUGUGUGUGUACGUGGCUGUAUGAUUAAGAAGUUUGUUUUGCAACCACAUGCUUUUGGGUUCAAUCCCACUAUGUGGUACCUUGGGCAAGUGCCUUCAACUAAAGACCCCAGACAUUGUGAGUGGAUUUGGUAGACGGAAAGUAUAAAACUUUGUUGUAAUGUGUGUGUGUGUGUGUGUGUGCGUGCGUGUGUCUUUGUGUUUCUCUGUCAGUACUUGACAGCCUGAGCUGGUUUGCUUGUGUACCUAUAACUUAGUGGUUUGGCUAAGUUAUGCAAGCACUGAGAGGAAGAGUUGAUUUUUGACUGACUAAAUUCCAAUGACAAAUCAGUAAAAGACAACACACACGUCUGUGUGCAUACAUAUCUACACAGAAUUACGUGUAAAACUAUAAAUGGAUCCUUUGUUUGUUUCGAUGACAAGUAUUCUAGUUGUACUAGUUGUACGAAUGACAGAACUAAUCACACACCGCAUGUGCAUGGAGGUGACUGACAAUUCCACAAACACAUGUUGCCUUAACUCUUUAGCAUUAAAAAAACAGCCAUAUCUGGUCCAUACAUUCUACUUAUUUUAUGUUACAUAAUUCUGAACUUCUUGAAACAGAAGUUGAGUUAAGAAAUUAAAUAUUCUCUGUUUAGUCUUCUGAAUUUUUUAUGAUCUAUGUAAAUAUGUAUGUAUGUAUUAUGUAAGUAUGUAUGUAUGUGUUUAUCUAUGUAUAUGUAAAUGUAAAUGUAUGUGUGUGUGUGAAGCCUAAUUGUGUUCCACAAACAUGUUGCCUUAACUCUUUAGCAUUAAAAAACGGCCAUAUCUGGUCCAUACAUUCUACUUGUUUUAUGUUCAAACAGACCAGAUCCAGCCUCUCACACCUAUCUUACAAUGUCAUUUCAAAAAUAAACAAUAUCAUCAUCAAACUCUCAAAUAUAUGAGAUAAUGCACGAUAAAUUCAAAACAGUCUGAAUAAAUAAACAUUACAUUUGUCAGAGUAAUCUGAAUACUGAAGAGUUAAGAAGAAUAGGCAAGUCAGUGUAUAACAAGGCUUGACAUUUGAAUAUGAUAGCCAAUGAACUUCCUUGCAGUUUCUGUCUACACAAUACUCACAAAGCUUGGGUUGAUCAAAGGCUAUGACAAAGAGCACUUACCCAAAAUGUUAUGCAGUGGGAUUGAUACCAGGUUACCCAAAUAACUGCUAAACAAACCUCUUAACCACUUAUACAGGCUUCCAAUGAUAUAUAUAUAUAUAUAUAAUAUAUAUAAAUAUAUAUAUGUAUGUAUGUAUGUAUGUAUAAUUUCAAUACGGAGCAAAUAAUUCAUGAGAAAAUAUUUGCAAAGGUAUCAUUGACUCUAUUAUUAUCUAGUGUAACAAUUUAAAAAUGACAAUAACAAAAUCAAUUAUAUAGGUGAUUGCAGGCCCCACAAAAAAGGCAUUAAAUAGCUGAAGGAUUAAAAUUAAACAAAGGACAUACUGUUAUUUCCAGCAGGUAGACAUACUUAGUAUGUCCUUUGAUUAAUUUUAAUCCUUCAGUUAUUAUGUAUGUAUGUGUGUGUGUCUGCAACAUAUAUACAUGAUAUCCAUAAAUUAUCUUUACAACUUCCAUAAUUUAUUGUCUAGAUGUGUUUCAUGCAACCAGCCAAUGCAGCCUACGUGGAGGUGUUCUGAUGUUCCUAAUAAAACUGUUUGCUAAUGUUUUCCAAAUGAAGUCUGCUGAGUUAGCCUUCCUUUUCAAAUUUUUCUGAGUUUUUCAAAUUGUUAAAGUAAUUUAUAGACACCCUCUAUGUGAAUAUGUGUGUGUGGUGGGUAAGCAUUAUACUUGUGUAUAGUGGCAUAAACCCUCAAAAAUGAGUACCUAAAACAUGGAGCAGAGUAAAUAUGUAUAUAUUUUUUUUUUUUUAUUACAGAUGGCAAAAUUUCCAUUACUUCACAUUUUCAUAUCUGUAAAUGUAAUAUGUGACAAUUAUUCGGUAGCCAAGAUAAAACUCCGAGUUUUGGAUGCCGAGGUGGAAAUCCAUGCCACCAUCUCUUAAGUUAUCCGGCCAUCGGAAAAGUGAUGGUGGUGUGGAUUUCCACCUCGGCAUCCGAAACGCGGAGUUUUAUCUUGGCUGCCGAAUAAUUAUCACAUAUUACAUUUACAGAUAUAUACAUAUAUAUAUAUAUUCCUCACUCUCUCUCUUUCGGAGAGGCACUGAGCAGCUAUACGCACACAUACACACACGGCAGUAACUUUCAAUCACAAAGCUCCGGUCGGCUUGGGGCUAUAGUGGAAGACACCUACCCAAAGUGCCACGCAGUGGGACUGAACCUGAAACCAUGUAGCUAGGAAGCAAGCUCCCUAACCACACAGCCAUGCCCGCGCCUACAAAAAUGUAUGCACAUAUAUGCAGCGCUAUGCGUAUGGCAAGUUUUCUACGGCCAGAUGCCCUUCCUGAUAUAUAUAUAUAUAUAUAUAUAUAUAUGUAUGUAUAUUAUAUAGAGGGUACUAUUAUUCAUAGGUACCGCACGCUAGGAGGGACUCUUGCAGUCAAAACUACUAAAAUAAACAAAUUGUACCGAAUGCAAAACUUCAAAGCAAGUCAUUUAAAAACAGAAUUUAGUUACAUAUCACCUGUGAUUUCGCAAUCAAUGCAGAAUAUGCAUUCUAUGCUCAACAGUGCAACAAACUCAAGACAUGUAAGGAAAAAACACAAUAUAACAUACCCGACAGCCAACCGCAGAAUUCGUCGUAUCAUGUACGAAUGUUUAUCUUUACAUAUCUAUGAAAAUGGCGGGCUUAUUCGCAAUGCAUUUCGGUAACAAUUUGCCUAUUCAGAACAAAAAUUCAGUAUUGAACUAUUCCGGUGAAAAAUAUAAAUUUAAAAUUAAGGAUAAAAUCUUUAUAAGAAAUUAUCAGUAGUUAGCGUGAAAAAGCUAACUACUGAUAAUUUCUUAUAAAGAUUUUAUCCUUAAUUUUAAAUAUAUAUGUAUGUAUGUAUAAAUGUAUAAAGCCUCGUUUCUGAAUGAUAUAAUACACCACAGUUUCAGCUUGGAAUUGAAACCAGGUCAGUAGAUUAGGGUUUGCUGGAAGUGCAUCACGGACCUCUCUACACUGCAUUCAACACUACAGCACGCCAUCCCUAACAUCUAAACAAAACUGAGACAUCAAUGGAUUUAUUUGUGAUUUACUGCUUGUGCACACACUAAUAUGCAUUUUCUACUUAAUUUUUUUUAUGACUGUAUGAACAAAAGAUAUCAGUGACAGAGGUGAUGCUGGAAUUCCCAGUGUACAGUGAAAGCAUCGAAAGAACAAAAAUCAAACAUAGAUACACUGUCAGAAGAAUCAUUUGUAUCCCUCUCCCACCCAAAAGAUGAUACCUUAUCUUAAAGGAGUGUACCAGAAGAAAAGAGAUGAAAUGAAAUAAACUGAACGGCAAUGAAUAAAUAAAUAAAUAGUCAAUAAAUAAGGGAAUAAGUUAGGAUGUAUUGAUGCUAAAGAUUGUCCAACUGUGCAUUAAGGGUUUAAAAGU
rnacentral:lncRNA from 1 species